AUUGAACGCUGGCGGCAUGCCUUACACAUGCAAGUCGAACGGUAACGGGCCUUCGGGUGCCGACGAGUGGCGAACGGGUGAGUAAUACAUCGGAACGUGCCCGAUCGUGGGGGAUAACGAGGCGAAAGCUUUUCUAAUACCGCAUCCGAUCUACGGAUGAAAGCAGGGGACCGCAAGGCCUUGCGCGGACGGAGCGGCCGAUGGCAGAUUAGGUAGUUGGUGGGAUAAAAGCUUACCAAGCCGACGAUCUGUAGCUGGUCUGAGAGGAUGAUCAGCCACACUGGGACUGAGACACGGCCCAGACUCCUACGGGAGGCAGCAGUGGGGAAUUUUGGACAAUGGGCGCAAGCCUGAUCCAGCCAUGCCGCGUGCAGGAUGAAGGCCUUCGGGUUGUAAACUGCUUUUGUACGGAACGAAAAGCCUUCUUUUAAUACAGGAGGGUCAUGACGGUACCGUAAGAAUAAGCACCGGCUAACUACGUG
rnacentral:rRNA from 1 species